CCUUCAGUGAUAAACCAUCAUUUGUUUUGUUCAAGGCACUGCAACUUUCAUUUUGUAUAUUUUUAUGCAUUAUAAAUGACUCUUUUAUUUUUCUCAUUAGGUUUCUAUUUUUUGUUUCUUUUCGUUUUUGUUUUUUAUUUGCAAUAUGUGGGAUGGUUGGUUUAGAAAGCCCCCCACCCCAUGGUGGAAUAGGUGAUCUGUUCCUUUCAGAGUUCUUUAUGUAGUCUUGUUUUUUUAAAUUAAUUUAUUUUUGGUUGCGUUGGGUCUUUGUUGCUGUGCACGGGCUUUCUCUAGUUGUGGUGAGAGGGGGCUACUCUUCAUUGCGGUGCGCAGGCUUUGCGCAGGCUUCUCAUUGCAGUGGCUUCUCUUGUUGCAGAGCACGGGCUCUAGGCAUGCGGGCUUCAGUAGUUGUGGUGCAUGGGCUUAGUUGCUCCGUGGCAUGUGGGAUCUUAGUUCCCGGACCAGGGCUCGAACUGGUGUCCCCUACAUUGGCAGGUGGAUUCUUAACCACUGUGCCACAAGCGAAGUCCCAAGAUCACUUAUCAAAGAAAAAUAUAUUAUUUUUGGUUGAGAACAAAUUCUAACUGGAGAAUAUAGGGUGUCAGUUGUCAAGUCGGAAGUAGCACAGAUCUUAUUUUCUCUGCAACAUACUUUGGCUCUCAAUGUCACUACAUCACUGGAAAAUGGCAGGAUAGCUUCCAGGCAUUUGGCAAUGGAGAGUCUCUCCUUGUCACAAACUAUAGUUGGAAUUUUGGGGUCUUUCUUUUUUUAAAAAAAAAAAAGCAACAAAUUUAUUUAUUAAAUAAAUAUUCUUGAUGUUAAACUAUUAUUGAAUAUAUGAUUUACAAAUAUUUUGUAUUAUACCAUACAUUGUUUUUUCACUCUGCUGAGUAUGGUUUAGUGCACAAUAGUUAAUAGUUACGAUGUAGUCCAAUUUAUCUGUUUUUAGUUUGUUGGCCUGAGCUUUUGCUGUUAUAUCUGAUAAAUCAUUGGUGAAUCCAAUGUUAAUCUUUUUUUGUAAAUUUACUUAUAGGAGUUUUAUUCACUAGGAUUUUAGGUUUAGAUCUUUGAAGCAUUUUGAGUUAAUACAAUAAUGGUCCAACUAAAUUCUUCUGCAUGUGGAUAUCCAGUUUUCUCAACACCUUUUGUUCCAUAGACUGCCCUUCCCCCAUUAUGUGGUCUUGACAAGCUUGCGGAACAUCAUUUGACCUUAUACACGAAAGUGUUUUUCUCAAUCUCUUGUGUUCCACAGGUCUCUCUGUCUUUAUGCCAGUACCAUACUGCUUUGAUUAGUGUAGCUUUGGAAAAAGUUUUGAAAUAAAGAAAUGUGAAUUGUGUGACUUUGUUUUCAAGCUUCUUUUUGCUAUUCAUUGUGUCCUGAAAUUCCACAGGAAUUGUAGGAUUGAUUCAUCUGUUUCUUCAGCAAAGCGGUAUUGGGAUUUGGGAUUACACUAGGGAUUAUUUUGAAUAUCCUGAUAACUUUGGCUAGUAUUGACAUCUUGACAAUAUCAGCUUCAAAUCCAUGAACUUGGGUAUCUUUGCAUUUAUUUGUGUCUUCUCUAAUAUGUUUCAGAAGUCUUUAUUUUGCAGUAGUUACAAAUCCUUCCCUUCUUGUAUAAUGUUAUGUUUAAGUACUCUUCUUUUUUGAUUCUAUUGUAAAUUGAAUUGCUUUGAUUGUUCUUUUUUUUUUUUCCGGUACGCGGGCCUCUCACUGCUGUGGCCUCUCGCGUUGCGGAGCACAGGCUCCGGACGCGCAGGCUCAGUGGCCAUGGCUCACGGGCCCAGCCGCUCCGUGGCAUGUGGGAUCUUCCCGGAACGGGGCAUGAACCCGUGUCCCCUGCAUCGGCACGUGGACUCUCAACCACUGCGCCACCAGGGAAGCCCUGCCCUAUUCAUUUUUAAUGUUUAGAAACCCAGUUGGUUUUUGCAUGUUGAUGUUGUAUCUAGUAAUUUUUUUGAAGUCUUUCAUUAUUUCUAUAAGUUUUUUUUUACUUAUUAAUGUUGCAGAAUGCCUGUUAUGGGUAUGUCAUUUUGUAGAAGAUAUUUAGAAAAAUGUUUUCAUAAAAACUGUCCUAUUGAAUUCUUUUUCUCUAUGGUAUAUAUGUUUUAUAAUUCUAAACAGCGACAUAUUAUUAGAUAAGCUUGUUUUGGAUUUUUUAGCAUUACAGUAUAUUGUGUGUUCAUUAACAUUUACUUAUGUACACCAGGUAUGCAGAAUAUAUCUGUAGUAUAAUGUAUUUUUCUCAGAGACAGCAGUAUGUUUACUGUAAAUUGGUACAUGCUUUGGAGUCAUGGUGGAAAAAUUGCGUUCUUUUGAGAGCUGACGUCCGUUUUUCCUGUAUGAGUGUUUUUGUCAUAGCGGGUUUGCAAGUAGUCUCCUCUAAAAUCAAUUUGAAUUAUAUUUUAUAACUCUUUUUUUAGUAAACAAUUCUAUUGCUUUAGUGUUUCUAAUAAUUUUAAGAUCAUAAUUGGGCAAUUUCAAAUUUUUAAAAAAAUUUAAAAAAAAUACAUAGUUGGGAAGUUUUACAACUGUGUUUGGUAUAAGUAUUACCUUUGGUGUAAUAUCAUAUAUUCAACAUGAAACAGUUAAUUUUGAA